rnacentral:rRNA from 1 species
UAGCCGUAAACGAUACUCGCUAGGUGUCGGCCACGGUGCGACCGUUGUCGGUGCCGUAGGGAAGCCGUGAAGCGAGUCACCUGGGAAGUACGGCCGCAAGGCUGAAACUUAAAGGAAUUGGCGGGGGAGCACCACAACGGGUGGAGCUUGCGGUUUAAUUGGAUUCAACGCCGGAAAUCUUACCGGGACCGACAGCAACAUGAAGGCCAGGCUGAAGACUUUGCCGGAUUAGCUGAGAGGAGGUGCAUGGCGUAGUCGUGU